rnacentral:rRNA from 1 species
UUAAGUUAUUAAGGGCGCACGGUGGAUGCCUUGGCACUAGAAGCCGAUGAAGGACGUUACUAACGACGAUAUGCUUUGGGGAGCUGUAAGUAAGCUUUGAUCCAGAGAUUUCCGAAUGGGGAAACCCAGCAUGAGUUAUGUCAUGUUAUCGAUAUGUGAAUACAUAGCAUAUCAGAAGGCACACCCGGAGAACUGAAACAUCUUAGUACCCGGAGGAAGAGAAAGAAAAUUCGAUUCCCUUAGUAGCGGCGAGCGAAACGGGAAGAGCCCAAACCAACAAGCUUGCUUGUUGGGGUUGUAGGACACUCUAUACGGAGUUACAAAGGACGACAUUAGACGAAUCAUCUGGAAAGAUGAAUCAAAGAAGGUAAUAAUCCUGUAGUCGAAAAUGUUGUCUCUCUUGAGUGGAUCCUGAGUACGACGGAGCACGUGAAAUUCCGUCGGAAUCUGGGAGGACCAUCUCCUAAGGCUAAAUACUCUCUAGUGACCGAUAGUGAACCAGUACCGUGAGGGAAAGGUGAAAAGCACCCCGGAAGGGGAGUGAAAUAGAACCUGAAACCGUGUGCUUACAAGUAGUCAGAGCCCGUUAAUGGGUGAUGGCGUGCCUUUUGUAGAAUGAACCGGCGAGUUACGAUUUGAUGCAAGGUUAAGCAGUAAAUGUGGAGCCGUAGCGAAAGCGAGUCUGAAUAGGGCGUUUAGUAUUUGGUCGUAGACCCGAAACCAGGUGAUCUACCCUUGGUCAGGUUGAAGUUCAGGUAACACUGAAUGGAGGACCGAACCGACUUACGUUGAAAAGUGAGCGGAUGAACUGAGGGUAGCGGAGAAAUUCCAAUCGAACCUGGAGAUAGCUGGUUCUCUCCGAAAUAGCUUUAGGGCUAGCCUCAAGUGAUGAUUAUUGGAGGUAGAGCACUGUUUGGACGAGGGGCCCCUCUCGGGUUACCGAAUUCAGACAAACUCCGAAUGCCAAUUAAUUUAACUUGGGAGUCAGAACAUGGGUGAUAAGGUCCGUGUUCGAAAGGGAAACAGCCCAGACCACCAGCUAAGGUCCCAAAAUAUAUGUUAAGUGGAAAAGGAUGUGGCGUUGCCCAGACAACUAGGAUGUUGGCUUAGAAGCAGCCAUCAUUUAAAGAGUGCGUAAUAGCUCACUAGUCGAGUGACACUGCGCCGAAAAUGUACCGGGGCUAAACAUAUUACCGAAGCUGUGGAUUGUCCUUUGGACAAUGGUAGGAGAGCGUUCUAAGGGCGUUGAAGCAUGAUCGUAAGGACAUGUGGAGCGCUUAGAAGUGAGAAUGCCGGUGUGAGUAGCGAAAGACGGGUGAGAAUCCCGUCCACCGAUUGACUAAGGUUUCCAGAGGAAGGCUCGUCCGCUCUGGGUUAGUCGGGUCCUAAGCUGAGGCCGACAGGCGUAGGCGAUGGAUAACAGGUUGAUAUUCCUGUACCACCUAUAAUCGUUUUAAUCGAUGGGGGGACGCAGUAGGAUAGGCGAAGCGUGCGAUUGGAUUGCACGUCUAAGCAGUAAGGCUGAGUAUUAGGCAAAUCCGGUACUCGUUAAGGCUGAGCUGUGAUGGGGAGAAGACAUUGUGUCUUCGAGUCGUUGAUUUCACACUGCCGAGAAAAGCCUCUAGAUAGAAAAUAGGUGCCCGUACCGCAAACCGACACAGGUAGUCAAGAUGAGAAUUCUAAGGUGAGCGAGCGAACUCUCGUUAAGGAACUCGGCAAAAUGACCCCGUAACUUCGGGAGAAGGGGUGCUCUUUAGGGUUAACGCCCAGAAGAGCCGCAGUGAAUAGGCCCAAGCGACUGUUUAUCAAAAACACAGGUCUCUGCUAAACCGUAAGGUGAUGUAUAGGGGCUGACGCCUGCCCGGUGCUGGAAGGUUAAGAGGAGUGGUUAGCUUCUGCGAAGCUACGAAUCGAAGCCCCAGUAAACGGCGGCCGUAACUAUAACGGUCCUAAGGUAGCGAAAUUCCUUGUCGGGUAAGUUCCGACCCGCACGAAAGGCGUAACGAUUUGGGCACUGUCUCAACGAGAGACUCGGUGAAAUCAUAGUACCUGUGAAGAUGCAGGUUACCCGCGACAGGACGGAAAGACCCCGUGGAGCUUUACUGUAGCCUGAUAUUGAAAUUCGGCACAGCUUGUACAGGAUAGGUAGGAGCCUUUGAAACGUGAGCGCUAGCUUACGUGGAGGCGCUGGUGGGAUACUACCCUAGCUGUGUUGGCUUUCUAACCCGCACCACUUAUCGUGGUGGGAGACAGUGUCAGGCGGGCAGUUUGACUGGGGCGGUCGCCUCCUAAAAGGUAACGGAGGCGCUCAAAGGUUCCCUCAGAAUGGUUGGAAAUCAUUCAUAGAGUGUAAAGGCAUAAGGGAGCUUGACUGCGAGACCUACAAGUCGAGCAGGGUCGAAAGACGGACUUAGUGAUCCGGUGGUUCCGCAUGGAAGGGCCAUCGCUCAACGGAUAAAAGCUACCCCGGGGAUAACAGGCUUAUCUCCCCCAAGAGUUCACAUCGACGGGGAGGUUUGGCACCUCGAUGUCGGCUCAUCGCAUCCUGGGGCUGUAGUCGGUCCCAAGGGUUGGGCUGUUCGCCCAUUAAAGCGGUACGCGAGCUGGGUUCAGAACGUCGUGAGACAGUUCGGUCCCUAUCCGUCGUGGGCGUAGGAAAUUUGAGAGGAGCUGUCCUUAGUACGAGAGGACCGGGAUGGACAUACCUCUGGUGUACCAGUUGUCGUGCCAACGGCAUAGCUGGGUAGCUAUGUGUGGACGGGAUAAGUGCUGAAAGCAUCUAAGCAUGAAGCCCCCCUCAAGAUGAGAUUUCCCAACUUCGGUUAUAAGAUCCCUCAAAGAUGAUGAGGUUAAUAGGUUCGAGGUGGAAGCAUGGUGACAUGUGGAGCUGACGAAUACUAAUCGAUCGAAGACUUA